GACGAACGCUGGCGGCGCGCCUAACACAUGCAAGUCGAACGAGCGAGAGAGAGCUUGCUUUCUUGAGCGAGUGGCGAACGGGUGAGUAACGCGUGAGGAACCUGCCUCAAAGAGGGGGACAACAGUUGGAAACGACUGCUAAUACCGCAUAAGCCCACGGUGCCGCAUGGCACAGAGGGAAAAGGAGCAAUCCGCUUUGAGAUGGCCUCGCGUCCGAUUAGCUAGUUGGUGAGGUAACGGCCCACCAAGGCGACGAUCGGUAGCCGGACGGAGAGGUUGAACGGCCACAUUGGGACUGAGGCACGGCCCAGACUCCUACGGGAAGCAGCAGUGGGGAAUAUUGCACAAUGGGGGAAACCCUGAUGCAGCGACGCCGCGUGGAGGAAGAAGGUCUUCGGAUUGUAAACUCCUGUUGUUGGGGAAGAUAAUGACGGUACCCAACAAGGAAGUGACGGCUAACUACGUG
rnacentral:rRNA from 1 species